GUGCUCGCUUCAGGAGCACACAUACUAAAAUUGGAAUGACACAGAGAAGAUUAGCAUGGCCCCUGCGCAAGGAUGACACGCAAAUUUGUGAAGCAUUCCAUACUCCU
rnacentral:snRNA from 1 species